rnacentral:rRNA from 1 species
AUUGAACGCUGGCGGAAUGCUUUACACAUGCAAGUCGAACGGUAGAGGGGGCAACCCCUCGAGAGUGGCGAACGGGUGAGUAAUAUAUCGGAACGUGCCCAGUCGUGGGGGAUAACGUAGCGAAAGUUACGCUAAUACCGCAUACGAUCUACGGAUGAAAGCGGGGGACCGUAAGGCCUCGCGCGAUUGGAGCGGCCGAUAUCAGAUUAGCUAGUUGGUGGGGUAAAGGCCCACCAAGGCGACGAUCUGUAGCUGGUCUGAGAGGACGACCAGCCACACUGGGACUGAGACACGGCCCAGACUCCUACGGGAGGCAGCAGUGGGGAAUUUUGGACAAUGGGCGCAAGCCUGAUCCAGCAAUGCCGCGUGCAGGAAGAAGGCCUUCGGGUUGUAAACUGCUUUGUACGGAACGAAAAGGUCUGGGUUAAUACCCUGGGCUCAUGACGGUACCGUAAGAAUAAGCACCGGCUAACUACGUG